CUGUACCACACAGUGGGGAGAAGCCAGAGCCCAGCAUUGGGGGUGGGGAGGGCAAGAAGAGGCUAGCCACCUCUCGGCGCAGGAAGCAGUGCACGGCGGUGAUGACAAAGCCUUGUGCAGAGUUGAAAACAGCAAAGAGCGCCUGGAAGAGGACGGAGCGGCGAUCUGUCAUGGCCAGGACAGCGGACAUCCAGACCCACAAACCUCUCCAGCCCCACCCUCACCAACAGAGGCGCCACGUACUAGCUGGAUGUGCCGUAUCCUUUGGUGCGAGUAAAGCCAACAGACACAGCCACCACCAGGGCAGGCAGACCUGGAGACAGGGUUACAGGAACCUGCACCUGCCUUGCUCAGCACCCGGGACUGGCCCACGAGGAUCAGGAUGUUGGAAGCCAGGAUGGACAGGCAGAAGUUCAGCAAGAUGAUGGAGCGUUCUGACUUUAUAAACCUGACAGGGCACAGUGGGCAGAGGCAGAGGCGUUGGCUGCCUGCCUGCCUAACCCCAGAGAGCUGGCCACCUCCCAUCCUGCUCAGCAUCCGACUUUACCUCCAGAAGGCUGCAUAGAUGGCCAGCAACGUGAGCAGGGCCAUGCAGGACACCGCACAGCCGAUCACCAGGGGGACAGAGGGAGCACCCGCCAGCUCCAGAGUCUGUGGGAGAUGGGUUGCUGGGAGAGGGUAAAGGUAGAGCACCCGG
rnacentral:lncRNA from 1 species